AGAGUUUGAUCCUGGCUCAGGAUGAACGCUAGCGGGAGGCUUAAUACAUGCAAGUCGAACGGCAGCAUUAUUAGAGUAAUUUAGUAGAUGGCAAGUGGCGCACGGGUGAGUAACGCGUACACAACCUACCCUUAAGAGUGGGAUAGCCCUGGGAAACUGGGAAUAAUACCGCAUAAUAUUAAUUAGUUGCAUAGCUGAUUGAUUAAAGUUGAGGCGCUUAAGGAUGGGUGUGCGUUCCAUUAGUUAGUUGGUGAGGUAACGGCUCACCAAGGCGACGAUGGGUAGGGGGCGUGAGAGCGUGAUCCCCCACACGGGUACUGAGACACGGACCCGACUCCUACGGGAGGCAGCAGUAAGGAAUAUUGGACAAUGGGCGAAAGCCUGAUCCAGCCAUCCCGCGUGCAGGAUGAAUGCCCUAUGGGUUGUAAACUGCUUUUAUAAGGGAAGAAACCCCCGGACUUGUCUGGGGCUGACGGUACCUUAAGAAUAAGCACCGGCUAACUCCGUGCCAGCAGCCGCGGUAAUACGGAGGGUGCAAGCGUUAUCCGGAUUCACUGGGUUUAAAGGGUGCGUAGGCGGCGAGAUAAGUCAGAGGUGAAAUCCUACAGCUUAACUGUAGAAUUGCCUUUGAAACUGUUUUGCUAGAAUAGAGUUGAGGUUAGCGGAAUGUGACAUGU
rnacentral:rRNA from 1 species